GACAGAGGGUGCUAGCGUUGUUCGGAAUGACUGGGCGUAAAGGGCGCGUAGGCGGUAAUAUUAGUCAAGCGUGAAAGCCCCGGGCUUAACCUGGGAACAGCGCCUGAAACGGUAUUACUAGAGGACGAGAGAGGAAAGCGGAAUUCCUAGUGUAGAGGUGAAAUUCGUAGAUAUUAGGAGGAACAUCAGAGGCGAAGGCGGCUUUCUGGCUCGUAACUGACGCUGAGGCGCGAAAGCGUGGGGAGCAAACAGG
rnacentral:rRNA from 1 species